rnacentral:rRNA from 1 species
UACAGAGGUCCCAAGCGUUGUUCGGAUUCAUUGGGCGUAAAGGGUGCGUAGGUGGCGCCGUAAGUCAGGUGUGAAAUCUCGGGGCUUAACUCCGAAACUGCAUUUGAUACUGCGGUGCUUGAGGACUGGAGAGGAGACUGGAAUUUACGGUGUAGCAGUGAAAUGCGUAGAGAUCGUAAGGAAGACCAGUGGCGAAGGCGGGUCUCUGGGACAGUUCCUGACACUGAGGCACGAAGGCCAGGGGAGCAAACGGG